UUAAUUAAAACCAAAGAGAGGUAUAUUACUGUUAAUAAUAAAAUUGAUAUUCAUAUCUAAUUAAA
rnacentral:tRNA from 1 species